rnacentral:lncRNA from 1 species
GGAUAGCUGGGAAGGAGGGGGAAGAGGGAGCCCUGCGGGACAAGCCGACGCCGUCUCCUAGCAACCAGCCUGGACUCGCCGUCACGUGCUGAGUCUCCGGGUCAGGUGGCCCGGCGGCGGGAGCCGGAGCUGGGGGGAGGGGGACGCCCGGGGCGGGGCCGAGAAAGUUUGUUUCCCAACUCUCUCCGGGUAGCUCCAGAGCCCCCGCAGCCACCUCCGCCGCCGCUUGCUUCUCCCUCGCCGGAGCCCGGCCUUGCUCCCGACGCGGCCUGGGAUGGAGCUGCCCGCCGUAAACCUCAAGGCCAUUGUUCUGGUGCACUGGCUGCUGACAACAUGGGGCUGUUUGAUAUUCUCAAACUCCUAUGCCUGGGCUAAUUUCACCGUCCUGGCCCUAGGGGUGUGGGCCAUUGCCCAGCGGGAUUCCCUGGAUGCCAUAAUUAUGUUUCUGGUGGGGCUGGCCAUCACCAUCCUCCUGGACAUCAUCUACAUCAGCAUCUCCUACCCGCACGGAGACUCCCUGAGCGACACGCAGCGCUUCAGCACCGGCAUGGCCAUCUUCAGCCUCCUUCUGAAGCCCCUCUCCUGCCUCUUUGUCUACCACAUGUACCGAGAGCGAGGGGGCGAGUUCAUCCUCAACAUAGGCUCCUUUGGCCCAUCACAGGAGCGCAGCGCAUACCAGACCAUUGACACGCAGGAGGACCCGGCCUUGGCACACCCCUACGCAGACCUGGAGAGCAAGCCGGCCGCUCGGCCAUACUGAGAGCCCCUCCCAUUGCCUCCUUCUCUGUGCUGGGUGUUCAUUCCCAACACCGAAGACUUUCUAAGCCCCUCGCGCUUCCCUCAGAGUUUACAAGCCUCUUGCACCAGGUGGGGUCCCUCCAUCUCUGCCUCUCAGGGGAAGUGAGCUCUUGACCGAUGUUCUCUCCACUCCGAUUGUGACCCACACUCCAGUCUCUCUGCACUGUACUCCCGUGAGAGACCCCCUGCCACAAUGAUGCACUUUUGCUAGGUUGAGUCUGUCUGUCCCCACCUCUGGGCCACACUACCCAGUGCCUGGCUGUGUCAGGGUCAGUUGUGACCGGUGAGGGUAACUGUCCUCCCCAUGCCCCAGGCGGGUAGGGAGCGUUUCCAGGGGCCGGGCACGGGGCAAUGGUGAGGGAAGGGCCACUCCCUCUGCUGCUUCCUCUGACCUGUCCAUGGUUCCCAGGGGCAGCGCUUGGACAGAGCCUCUGAAACACUGCCAUUGCCUUUAUUACCUAACUGCCGAGUUGGCAUUAAAGUUUGUGGAAGAUGCUCCCUGGGCUUUCUGUGUUGUACAGCCAUUCCCAGGCCCCGGCACACUCCCCUGGCUCCAGCCCGGCACCAGGCCUGCUUUGGUGCUGGGAGGAUGGGCCCAUUCCCAGAGGAGAGACUUCCAGGUGUUUUUCUUGCAGCCAUGAGGGAGGUUGUACCUCAGCAGGGGAAGCCUUCAUCAGGCUGGCCCUCAGCCCUGCCUGAGCCAGGUAGCCCCACGGCCUCAGUGGGAAGGGUCCCCCUCGGGCACGGGCUACUUGGGCUGACGUGCCAGACCACCAGCUAUGGCUCAGGCCUUUGGCUCACCCUUCUGUUCGAGAGCAGCCUGGAUCGCCAGCAUCCAUUCAUGGUCACCUUCGCUUCUCCAAAGGGAGGACAGGAAGAAUGGAAUGGGGCUGGGUUCCCUCAACUUUUUCAAGCCUUCCCAGACCACAAAUGGCCUUCAGCCUUAUUCUUACCCAUGGCAGCAGUUCAUUAGAGCCUGAGAAAUUCUAGUCACUCACCCAGGGAGGCAGCUAAGGAGCAGGAGGAUGGGGGGAGCUUGAGGGCAACUGUUGGAACCCCUGGGUACCCACAGAGGCUUCUAAGUGGCCCCCAGGGCAGCUGCCGCCAGCUGUUCAACUGAAGGGGAGGGGAGCAAAGUUUUUUACUCAAAUGAAUUUAUUAAAUAGUACUACAGGCAGAGCAGCGUGUGAGCUGCUGGACAAAGAUAGCUCUCUGGGCCAAGGGUCCUGCCGUCUAAUAAGGGGAAAGAUGAUACAGGGAAAGAUCCAGGCAGAAUGCUGGGAGAUAGGGGAAAGGACAGCAUCACUAGCCCAGCAGAAGGGUGGGGUGCCCAGGCUGGACUUUGUGGGCGUGGGCAGAGGCACUGCUGUGUGGCCUAGGUAGAAAAUAUUUGAAUGGGGGAAUUGAAAGGGAGCUAGAUUGUGGUGAGCCUAGAAUCCCUACAAUUAACAAACUGGAGAGCCAGCCACUGAAAGUUGGUGGAAGUAGAGAAUCGAGGAGAAUUUAGAGGUGGAGAGAAUCAUUAUCAUAAAUCUAGAAGCUUAAGUGGAGCCAGGAUCCCCAAUCAUGGGAUCCAGGUGUUUACCCAACCACUGUGUGGUACAGUGGAGUCAAAGAACACCAAUCCCGAUUCUGUUCCUUGCUGUAAGUGAUCUUGUGUAGGUCACUUAACCUGUGAAUCUCCGUUCCCUCAACCAUAGAAUGAAGCAGAUAACCAAGGUCUUCUCUAUGAUUCAUGAACUCACUUAGUGUAGGGGAUAUCUGAGCUAAGGGCUUACAAGCCCCUAUGUAAGGACAGGCAAAUUUGGAUGGGAAAAACUUCUCUCCCAAAUGAAAUUUAGCACUUUUAGAAACAUUCUGUGACCAGAAAGUGAAGAAGCCCAAUAUAUAUUAAUGCAGGAAGCUCAGAUGGGAAUGAGUCCAGGGCUCCACAAUGGCUGAUUUCUGGCCUGCUGGGGAGUGACCAGAUGUCAGGCGUGGGGAUGGGGCAGCUGGAGGGUUCCAUGAGGCGGCACAGUUAGUGUGGAGACCUAACUUGCCAGGAGGCCAGACUCCCAUCCUCUGGCUUCUAGUUCUUAUAUAAAAGGAGACUCUCCCACAUGGUCUCUGAAGUCUGAAAUAUAGUCUCACAGAUCCACGCUAUCCAAACCCUCCACUUUACAAAUGAGCAAACUGAGGCCUAGAAAAGGGAAAUGACCGUCAGGAUCCCAGGGGCACCUGGGUCUGGACCCGUCCUAGCUCUCGGGGACAGAGACUUACCGGGCAAACACCUACGGGGCCGAGUCGUCCAGAUUGGAAGGAGACCAAAGCAGCCGAGCAGAGGCUCCCCUCCGGCCCCUCUCUGCCCUCGGACUGGGCACUAGAGCUGAGGGCCACAUCCAGCGCCCGGUGGAGACUGGGAUUGCGGCGGGCUCGGCGCUACCUAUAAAAGACGCGUGACCCUUCACAGUCGGGCGUGGGCAGGCGCCCGGGACUGGGUUUGCGGGACGCAUUGGCCCUGGGAAAGUGCACUCGGCUCCAGCUCGGGAAGGGAUUUAGCGGGGCUCCCUCUGCCGAGAUUUGUCCAACCGGCGCCCCCAAUCUCUGCCCGGGGCCAGCUCCUGCAGUGGACGGAGCCGGAGCCUCCCUGUCCUGGCGUGCCCCGGCCCAGGCGGCCGGCGCCCCGCCCCCUCCCACCCGGGGCCGCGGGGCGCGAACUUGAACUAGCGACGGCAGUCGUUACUCUGACACGCGAAGAAGCCGGGCCUCCGAGGGUCCCGAUCUCCCAGCCUUCUCCUUAUGAGAUCUGAACAGUUUAUGAUCUGCUGGCCAUCACUGCUACCUGGAAAGACCACUCUGACAGAGGCACCUGUCCUAGACUAAGGACCUUCUGGGGACAUUUCCAACCUAGACCCCAUGGAGGCCAAUCGGAAGGAGAAUAUUCCACCCUGGCCAGGAGGCCCCCUGAAAUCAGACCGACAGCUGGUUCCGAAGAACGUGAACAUCGGCCUCUCUGUGGGCAGCGGGCGAGCUACCAUGGCGGGGUCUCGCUCUCCCAUCAAAACUCAGAGGCAGAGUCCAGCCGCUCCUCCAGGCCAAGGCCUGCAGCUGGAAGGGCCUGUAGCCAGCAGCCAGGAGGCGAGGUACCUCUCCUCUGGGGUUCAGACCAACCUGGCUCCUGUGGGCCAGUCCCUGCCCAGGGCCGCCGGCCUGGUGAGUAACUCUUGCUUUGAGCAGCAGAGCAACCUGUGGCUCCAAGCCCGGAGGCCCAGGGCAUCUGGGAAGUGGACAGGGCUUUCCUCCCAGCAAAGCAACGUGGAGCUGAGCAGAGCAGACCCAGAGAGGAGAGGGGGAGCCAGGAGCCCCCACCUAAAGGAGCCGGCCUGGAGCCUGGGGGGCUGCUCGUGGGAGCUCUUGUGGUCCGGACAUUCUGGAGGCGUCCCCUGGCCCUCCGGGUCAGACAGCCAGACCCACAGGCUCCCGUUGCUGAGGGACCGACCAUCAUCUUCCUUCCCCGGCCCUGGGAGCACCGUACACAUCUCACCAAAAGCCACAAAAGCCUGGGGGUCCAAGCGGAGCCCUUCCCCUCCAUCUGGCCAUCAGGGUUGUCUUGUCCAGCCCAGCACAAGUUACCUGGGUUACUGGGCCCCAAACUCCACCGAGCAAACCCUCCCCUUGGAGGACCUGACCCUCUCAGGCCAGUGCCGGCAAUCAUCUCAGCCUCCGGUCUUGGAGCCCAGAGCUGAGUUUUUCCCAGACUCGGCCCACCUGCGCUUGUCCAUGAGGAGCCUCCGAUGGCCAUCAGAGGAGCUCCUCCUCAGAGCCCCCCAGGAGCACUCCAGACCCUGGCCCUGCUCCAGCUGGGCCAUUUCUCCAGGGGCCUCACUAACCUCGACUCUAGGGCACCCCAGCCCCCUAACCCAUGCUUGUGGGACUGUGCCUCCAGAAGCUACCCCUCGCCUGGCACCUGGGCACCCCAGUCCCUGCAGGGCUGUGCCUCCAGAGGCUACUCCUUACCUAACACCUGGGCACCACAGCCCCCUUACCCACCCUGGUGGGACUGAGCCUCCAGAGGCUACCCCUCACCUGCCACCUGGGCACCCCAAUCCCUGCAGGGCUGUGCCUCCAGAAACCAUCCCUCACCUGGCACGAGGGUAUCCCAGCCCCCUUAGCCAUCCUUGCAGGGCUGUGUCUCCAGAGGCUAGCCCUUACCUAACAUCCGGGCACCCCAACCCCCUUACCUGCCCCUGCAGGGCUGUGUCUCCAGAGACUGCCCCUUACUUAACACCAGGGCACCCCAGCCCCCUCACUCUCUCCCACAGCGCUGCAAGUCCAGAGGUUCUCCAGAAUCUGACAAUGGGGUACCCCAGUCCCCAUAUUUUUUCUGACAAGACCUUAACUCCAGAGGCAUCCCCCAAACUGGCACCAGGAUACUCCAGCAGGACUAAGGCUCCAGAGGCCUCCCCCAGCCCGACGUCGGAGUCUCCUACCCUCCUCCCUCUCUCUUACCAAGGCUCCCGAGUAGACAGGGGACAGCGACUGACAGACACUCAGCUGGAGGGACAUUUGUGGCAAAUCUGGCAUCGCUGGUGUCCCCAGGGCACAAAUACCCCUCUCCCGGGCCAGGCGGAAGGGACUGCUCCUGCCCACUGGAAAAGUCCAAGAGAAGGAGCCUUCUCAGGCCCUGAGGGUAGUUCCGGGCCAAGCCUCCUGCAGAGUGCCAUUCCUGGUCCCUGCCCCCCUGGGGGGGAAGGCAGACUGGGCCCGAGGACCUGUCUUUCAGCCUCCCCUUCUAUUGGGGCGCAUCCAGCCCAGCAGCAGAUGGAAAAGGCUCUUUGGCCCAGGGAACGGGAAGGUCCCUGGAUGGAACGGGGCCUUGCUGAGAGCCAUAGGGCAAGAAGCCGGGACAGGAGGGAGCAACACCUGGCAGUCGGGGGCCCACAGCAAAAGCUGGGGCUAGAGAAGAAGUCAUCCAUAUCUUUACUCUCGGAGACCAGGGAAUCAAGGGCCCUGCUCAGCUGCUGCUUCAAAGCCUGGCACUGCCACCUGCUGAGACAGCGGGCUGCGGCCAGGGCGCUGAGGAGGAGACAUCUGCUGCGGAAGGGCCUCCGCGCCAUGCGCUGGGCCUUAUGGCUCCGGGAAGCCCAGAUGGAGUUCAUGAAGAGGAAGCGGAGGCGGACUGUGCUGGCCGGGAGCUUCCGAAAGUGGAAAGACCUGUAUAUGAACAGGAGAAAAAGGAAGCUGCUGACUCAGUGCAGGACAGCUACUCCUGAGAAAGACUUUCUCCUCUUCUUGGAAAGCCCACGGGAAAGAUCCUUUGUCACUCUAGGGAUGGUUUGUGGAAAUGAGGGAGCACCAAAGAAUCAGCUCCAUCCCAGGUGGAAAACAGGCAGCCAGGACCCCAGGGCUCCGGCCACUCCAGACCUCCAGUGGCUGGCUGGUGAGUGGAUGUUAGGAAAGGAGGAUAUUCAGGGAAAGGAGGGGACCACAGAAGCUGGGGUCAGCGAAGCUAUACCUUUAGCCUUUUUGCAAAUCAGGGCCCAGACUUCCCUCCAUAAGGGUCCCCAAGACUUUUUCAGGGGGUUCACAAAGUCAAAAUUAUUUCCAUAAUACUAAGAUAUUUUAAUUUCUAAUACUGUAAAUAUGGAUAAAUAUAACCCAUAUAAACCAAAACUCUUUGAAAGAUCCUCAAUAAUUUAAUGGUAUAAAAAGGUUUGGAGAGCAAAACUUUGAGAACCACUGCACCGUGACAGCCCCUAAGAGCAAGAGUUUAAGGGAGGGUGUCAAAGUCUCCAUAAAGGUGGUUUCGACAGCCUGACACCAGAUGGGACACCUCCAUGAACAAGAGCACUGUUUCCCCAUUGUGUGGCAGUUCCAAAACUUUGUUGGCCCUAAAUUAUUCUGCUUUGCAUGGGCAGUGGUACCCAUCAACAAAUUAGAAUGAGUGAAAAAAAUUAAAAAAGAAAAGAAAAACAAAUAAAAAAAAUUAGAACGAGUGAAUCCCUGUAGUUUCUGGUUUGGGAAGUCAGGCCCUCAGGGUGGAUUAUGGUCCAUGUGAGCCGAGAACUCUUGGACCUCCGGGUAUAGUUUUACAGAAAUUGGGCUAUUUCAUAGCAGUCUAGGAUGAUAUUUUCAGAUGCUGCCAUUUAUAAAUUUAAGCUAGUAUAAAUGACUGUCCUAUACAGCAGGACCCCACACAGGUCCCAGUGAAAAACAUUUAUUGGGAAGAGAAUCUGACCAAAAAACUAGACCCCAGAUUCACUCCGGGUCUAAACCUUGGCCAAGACAGUUCACCUCAAUUUUUUCCAUGGUGUGGUGAAUAGAACCCUGAGUUUGGAUUCAGGAGAUCUGGAUUCAAACCCUGCUUCUGAUACUUCCUAGCUGAGGAAAAGUAGGUCACUCACUGCACAAAG